UGGCGCGGCCUACACAUGCAAGUCGAGCGGAUGAAGGGAGCUUGCUCCUGGAUUCAGCGGCGGACGGGUGAGUAAUGCCUAGGAAUCUGCCUGGUAGUGGGGGAUAACGUCCGGAAACGGGCGCUAAUACCGCAUACGUCCUGAGGGAGAAAGUGGGGGAUCUUCGGACCUCACGCUAUCAGAUGAGCCUAGGUCGGAUUAGCUAGUUGGUGGGGUAAAGGCCUACCAAGGCGACGAUCCGUAACUGGUCUGAGAGGAUGAUCAGUCACACUGGAACUGAGACACGGUCCAGACUCCUACGGGAGGCAGCAGUGGGGAAUAUUGGACAAUGGGCGAAAGCCUGAUCCAGCCAUGCCGCGUGUGUGAAGAAGGUCUUCGGAUUGUAAAGCACUUUAAGUUGGGAGGAAGGGCAGUAAGUUAAUACCUUGCUGUUUUGACGUUACCAACAGAAUAAGCACCGGCUAACUUCGUGCCAGCAGCCGCGGUAAUACGAAGGGUGCAAGCGUUAAUCGGAAUUACUGGGCGUAAAGCGCGCGUAGGUGGUUCAGCAAGUUGGAUGUGAAAUCCCCGGGCUCAACCUGGGAACUGCAUCCAAAACUACUGAGCUAGAGUACGGUAGAGGGUGGUGGAAUUUCCUGUGUAGCGGUGAAAUGCGUAGAUAUAGGAAGGAACACCAGUGGCGAAGGCGACCACCUGGACUGAUACUGACACUGAGGUGCGAAAGCRUGGGGAGCAAACAGGAUUAGAUACCCUGGUAGUCCACGCCGUAAACGAUNUCNACUANCCGUUGGGAUCCUUGAGAUCUUAAUGGCGCAGCUAACGCGAUAAGUCGACCGCCKGGGGAGUACGGNCGCAAGGNUAAAARUCANAUGAANUGNNGGGGGCCCGCNCNAGCGGUGGANNNNGUGGUNUUAA
rnacentral:rRNA from 1 species